GUCGGGUGAGGCCUCUGGGUCACCUCCCACCCAUGUUUAUUGUACCUUGUUGCUUCGGCGGGCCCGCCUCACGGCCGCCGGGGGGCUUCUGCCCUCUGGCCCGCGCCCGCCGAAGACACCAUUGAACACUGUCUGAAGAUUGCAGUCUGAGCAAUUAGCUAAAUAAGUUAAAACUUUCAACAACGGAUCUCUUGGUUCCGGCAUCGAUGAAGAACGCAGCGAAAUGCGAUACGUAAUGUGAAUUGCAGAAUUCAGUGAAUCAUCGAGUCUUUGAACGCACAUUGCGCCCCUUGGUAUUCCGGGGGGCAUGCCUGUCCGAGCGUCAUUGCUGCCCUCAAGCACGGCUUGUGUGUUGGGCCCCGUCCUCCUUCCCGGGGGACGGGCCCGAAAGGCAGCGGCGGCACCGCGUCCGGUCCUCGAGCGUAUGGGGCUUUGUCACCCGCUCUUGUAGGCCCGGCCGGCGCUUGCCGACAACCAUCAAUCUUUUUUCAGGUUGACCUCGGAUCAGGUAGGGAUACCCGCUGAACUUAAGCAUAUCAAUAAGCGGAGGAA
rnacentral:rRNA from 1 species